CAUGGAGAGCUGUGGAAAGCAUCUGUUCAGAAUAUGGUGACCUAUCUGCUAGCCCUCUAUGACAUCAUACACUGUAACAUGACCCAGGAAUCAGUAGGGGAUGCUGUCAAAAUACCAGCAGUCAGAAGACUGACAGCAGGACCCGACUGCAAGAAUCCUGACAUAUCCUGGGGGGCACAAAUUAGGAUUUUUUUUUUGUGGUGUUAGGUUGACGGGGGUUACACAACAAGGUGAGUUGUUUCUGCUGUAUUAGGGAAAUGUUGUAGUUUAGCCCAUGCACUUGCACAUAUAAUAAAUGAUUUACCACA